rnacentral:rRNA from 1 species
UGAUACGGUGAAUACGUUCCCGGACCUUGUACACACCGCCCGUCAAGCCACGGAAGCUGGGUGUACCUAAAGUCGGUAACCGUAAGGAGCCGCCUAGGGUAAAACUAGUAACUGGGGCU